rnacentral:lncRNA from 1 species
AUGCCUUCCAAACUGAUUGAAGGCUUUAGGGAUCGCACGCCAAGUAAAGAACCUGUUGUCACAGUGACAAGAAUUACUUGGCUGUCCAAAUUAAACAGUCAUGCUAUUUUUAAGCUAGAUUUCCCCGCCCUUUGGUUUCGACAGAUUCGUUUGCCACAGAUGCCUAGUUUUAAUGCGAGCGAGCUUGUUUUGCUCUUUUCCCUGCGCCCCGCUUGCGGGCAGCCGCAGGGAGGGAGCAGCCGACCCCCUUACUCCACAGGAGCAAGGGAGCGCUCUUACGUCUUGGCACACACAGGCUUUCUGGAAAAGCCGCUCGCCUGGUUUCUCCUGGGGCCGUGGGCUAGGCAGGCCGCGGGCGCUUACCUCGGUACGUUUUGGGCAGGAAGUUUUUCUCCUGACAUCUUAACUUUUAGCUUCCAGUUCCUCCUUCGCACGCCUGUGUUGCGCCUCUUGCCCAACCUGCAGGUGGGGUUCACAAACUCCCUUGCCGCAGCGGCCAGGACCGCUCAUCACCAGGACGUUUGGAGGGAGAAAGGAAUGGCAGGCACGUGGUUCGCAUGCUGCUGCUGCGUUACUCAAAGCAGGAGGGUGCGAAUGCCGCCUCGUACCUCAGAGAGCCGCCCUGAGAAGCUACACAGGGCUUUCCCCUCCGUGCCGCCCUCCCACCCCCGACUGAGGGGCCGGCACCUCAGCGCGUGGCGCUCGCCAGCAGGCUUCGCCCCGUCCCAGCCCUACGCAAGGACAAGGGCUGCGGGGCAGCGGGUGCCCGAGGCCAGGAGUGUGGACCGCCCUGCCACGAGGGGCCGGAGCUCCCCCUUUCCGCCUCUCCCGGCCACGGUGAUGAGGGUGAAGCGCAGCAGUGCUGCCACGGCCCCAGACCCUUUGCAAGGGAGACCUGCGCCAUUGCCCACAGGUCCGCGCUGCCCCCGCGGCGCAGCGCCGGGCCUUGUCAUGCCUCUCACAUCCUCUGAACAUGGAAACUGUUUCUGCAGAAAAGGGUUUGAGGCCCGAAAUGCUGCAGGCUCCCCGUUGCCCUCUGCAGCUGGUGGGAGGUGA